rnacentral:rRNA from 1 species
AACCUGGUUGAUCCUGCCAGUAGUCAUAUGCUUGUCUCAAAGAUUAAGCCAUGCAUGUGUAAGCACACACUGUUUUAAAAGUGAAGCCGCGAAUGGCUCAUUACAACAGCCACAGUUUAUUAGAACUUACAAUCAUGGAUAACUGUGGUAAUUCUAGAGCUAAUACACGCACAAAAACUUCAACUGAAUUGGUUGAAGUGCUUUUAUUAGAACAAAAACCGAACGGCGUUUGGCGAAUGUUGAACGUCGAAACUGUUUGGUGAAUCUGAAUAACUAUUUCUGAUCGCAUGGUCUAGCACCGGCGACAUCACUUUCAAGCGUCUGCCUUAUCAACCUUCGAUGGUAGUCUAUGCGACUACCAUGGUGAUAACGGGUAACGGAGAAUCAGGGUUCGACUCCGGAGAGGGAGCCUGAGAAACGGCUACCACAUCCAAGGAAGGCAGCAGGCGCGCAAAUUACCCACUCCCAGCUUGGGGAGGUAGUGACGAAAAAUAACGAGACGAUUCUCGUUUGAGAAACGUUAUCGAAAUGAGUACGCUUUACACACGCUAACGAGUAGCAAUUGGAGGGCAAGUCUGGUGCCAGCAGCCGCGGUAAUUCCAGCUCCAAUAGCGUAUAUUAAAGUUGCUGCGGUUAAAACGCUCGUAGUUGAAUUGUGGUCUUAGACAACAGUCCCCCUACAUAGGUGUGGCACGGUUGCUCGAGAUCUUCAUUCGUGGUUGCUGUUGUUGCUCUUCAUUGAGUGUCAGUGGUGCCUCGAGAUUUUACUUUGAAAAAAUUAGAGUGCUCAAAGCAGGUUGUGAUGCCUGAAUAAUGGUGCAUGGAAUAAUAGAAUACGAUCUCGGUUCUAUUUUGUUGGUUUUCGAACCGGAGAUAAUGAUUGAAAGGAACAGACGGGGGCAUUCGUAUUGCUGCGUUAGAGGUGAAAUUCUUGGAUCGCAGCAAGAUGAACAAUUGCGAAAGCAUUUGCCAAGAAUGUUUUCAUUAAUCAAGAACGAAAGUUAGAGGUUCGAAGGCGAUCAGAUACCGCCCUAGUUCUAACGGUAAACUAUGCCAACCAGCGAUUCGCCGAAGUUCAUUUAAGACUCGGCGAGCAGCUUCCGGGAAACCAAAGUGUUUCGGUUCCGGGGGAAGUAUGGUUGCAAAGCUGAAACUUAAAGGAAUUGACGGAAGGGCACCACCAGGAGUGGAGCCUGCGGCUUAAUUUGACUCAACACGGGAAAACUCACCCGGCCCGGACACUGGAAGGAUUGACAGAUUGACAGCUCUUUCUUGAUUCAGUGGGUAGUGGUGCAUGGCCGUUCUUAGUUGGUGGAGCGAUUUGUCUGGUUAAUUCCGAUAACGAACGAGACUCUACCCUAUUAAAUAGUGACAGUAUUGUAUUUUUUGUGCUGAUCACUUCUUGGAGGGACUGGCAAAUUGAAAGCUGCACGAAAAAGAGCAAUAACAGGUCUGUGAUGCCCUUCGAUGUCCGGGGCUGCACGCGCGCUACAAUGAAAGCGUCAACGUGAGUUACGUCCUUACCUGAAAAGGUUUGGCAAUCGAAUGAAACGUUUUCUUGAAUGGAAUAGGGAAUUGCAAUUGUUUCCCUUGAACGAGGAAUUCCCAGUAAGCGUGAGUCAUUAGCUCGCGUUGAUUACGUCCCUGCCCUUUGUACACACCGCCCGUCGCUACUACCGAUUGGAUGAUUUAGUGAGGUGUUUUGACUGGCGCCAGUAGUCGGAUGUAUUCGGCUUCGCGCCGGGAAAUUUCCCAAACCAAAUCAUCUAGAGGAAGUAAAAGUCGUAACAAGGUUUCCGUAGGUGAACCUGCGGAAGGAUCAUUA